GCACAGGUCUUCCUGGUUGCUGCCGCUGCAGAGAGCCCGUGGGCAGCACCCCACGAGCGAACCUGAGCCUCGGGACCACAGCAGGAGGUGUGUCCCAGAUCAAAGGUAUGUACCACCAUCAUACCUGGAUCAGAGACUUGCUUUGUGCCAGAUGAUCUUGAACUCAGAGAUCUCCUUUCCUUAGUCUCCUGGGAUUCAUAGCCACAAUGCCACAAUGUCUUCAUGCCAAGAUCCAGAAACUUUGCAGUUUUUUGACGUCCAAUUUUUUGAUUCUUGAUCAUAAAGUUGCCUCAGAAGAGCAGCAUUUGCAGUUUGCAGCUUUUUAAAAGACUGAACACAGAGGCAGUUAUUCUAAAACAAAUAUACUCAAUUGUAAAUAUGAAGGAAGGAAAAGAGUAAUUGUGUCAUAUGUAGGAUGCUCUGAAAAUAAAAUGAAAGAAUGUGUACUGAAAUUAUUGCUUGAAAUAUUUACCCAAGUCAGAAAAAAAGAUAAAUCUAAAUUGAAUAUGAAGCAUUUUGAAGAACCAUUGUCAAGUUUAUUUCAGCAGCAGUAUGUCGCCCUCAUGAGAAAAUAGGCAUGACUAUUUUUCUCCCACGCUGGACUCGUCUUCCUGUAGUGUAAGUUUAAAGCUGAAAUCUAAGUUUCUUUUUCACUUCUGAGUUUUCUUUUAUAAUAUUUACACAUAAUAAACAUUUUAUGUAGUUACUUAAAACAAAUUAAAAGUAAACAAAUGAGUCAUAUAGUCUUCCUUGCUUCCUCGCUGUAGAACAUAUUAUCUGCCUGCUAUCUAAUACAAAAUCAAGAUGGCAGAAAUUCCAAGUAACAUUAUAUAGAUUGACAAAGAUGUCUGAGUGUGUG
ensembl:lncRNA